rnacentral:rRNA from 1 species
CGUGGGUAACCUGCCCGAGAGAUCGGGAUAACACCUGGAAACAGAUGCUAAUACCGGAUAACAACAGAUGAUGCCUAUCAACUGUUUAAAAGAUGGUUCUGCUAUCACUCUUGGAUGGACCUGCGGUGCAUUAGCUAGUUGGUAGGGUAACGGCCUACCAAGGCGAUGAUGCAUAGCCUAGUUUAGAGACUGAUCGGCCACAUUGGGACUGAGACACGGCCCAAACUCCUACGGGAGGCAGCANCC